UUAUUUGUACACUGCUGGAAGCAACCCAUGCUUGUUUACAUACAGAAAACGUCUCACUCUACAAAAAGCAAAGUACAAUAAAAAGAGGUGAAACAAUAGUUUAAAAAGUAGAGCUCUCAAGAUGUAACUAUUAUUUUCCACAGACCACAGGGAAUGCACAAAAGAGAUGGUGUUUUAAAUGCACCUUGUGUAACAAACACUUGAAAGUCACAGCUGUGGGAGUUCUAUGGGCUGUGACCCCAGGCAAGCCCCAUUUUCUAGUAGGUCUCUGCCCUCAAAAUGAGGCAGCAUACCAUUUAAAGGUAAAAGAAGUCAUCAUUCAGUUCCUGAGUGUGUUACAGCUGUGUGUUACAGCUGCAGUUUUUGUUUCUUUCUCUCCCUCUCUGCCUCCAUAAGGCCACAGGCAGUGCCAUUUCUGCCAAUCUGUAAGCAGACUGGUAGGCAUUAUUUGAACAGAAAAGUUGUACUGAAGAAGAAAAGAGCUUCAGCAGUAUGUAUUUCAGUGUCUCCCCAAAAAGUGUCCCUUCUUUGACCAAAUAAAAGCAAAGCUUUCAGACUUCCUUUUUUAUCCGGGUGGCAUUAUCCCCUUCAUUAGACCUCUGUGCGUUGUAUGCAUGGCUCUGGUAUGUCACCACCUCACCUGAUCAGCUCACGCCCCAAUUCCUGCCCCAGUGAGACCGGCUGGCCAACUGUGAUGGCAACACCAUGGCUGAAGUUUGCAUAUGAGGAUGGCAUCAGCCCAGCCAGGCAAGGUCAAUUCCCCCAUUUUGCAAAGCAGAGGAGAUUGCCAGACCACAUUCAGUGGCAGAUGACCAAUUCAGAGGUAUUACACUUGAUAAAUACAAGCACAGCACAGCUUGAAGAAAAGGACCCUUAAUUGUCCAUGAAAAAUAAAAGUUUUCUAUUUAACCUGAUAACAACCUCUAAAAUAGAGAUAGAGAUUCUUCGUCAAGUCUUGCAUUUAAAAAUAAUUCCACAUGUAUCACUGUGAGUGAGGUGUAAGUGUGGUUUGUUGGUUCAAAGGCAGAUUCGCAGCUUUCUUUUAGCACACAAUUUUGGUCUCAAGACUUGUAGACACUGCAAACAUUGAAACAUCAGUUACAAAGGGAAUACUCGGUAUAGGACACUCUGGUUGGUAUCUUUCUCGCAGUUUAGAUGAACUUGCCAGGUAGCAUAAGCCAGCCUUUCUCUAUUCACUAGAGCCUUUUGGAGAGGUGCUGUGUGACAGGGAGGCUGUUGGAGGCAGAAGUGUUUGCAUGGGAUGGAGACUGCAACUACUGUAACCGUCCCUGUGGCAAGAACACCCACAGAAACAGGUAAUUUGCCCCUCCCACACCAACUAACAGCCAGAAGCAAAAAAUGUUAAAGUAAAUUACAUCAUCGUUUGCCUGUAUCAUUACUAAGGAGGAACUGAAAGCUGUUUUAUGAGGAGCAGACAGACAAAACUAGCUUGAGCUUGAGACAUAAAAAACCUAAACCACUAAGAUACCUGAAGGCAUCCCAAUUAAGUGAUAUUACCAUCCCGAUCAAGAUGCAGUCAUUGUUAGUAAGCACCCCUGAUUUUUAACAGAGAUAUUCCAAUUAAGUAGAUUUCCUGAUUAGGAGUACUUAAAUUAAGUGGAGAGAACAGCGUGGAGGAAUCCUGGAUGGCUUUUUAUGAAGGCCACCUUCAGAGGGGAGCUUUGUCACUUGCAACAGGGCAUAAGUGGAGUUCAGGCCACGUAGCCCAAAAUCGUGGCAAUGUCCCUUUGCCCCAUGCAGAGCAACCAUCUAACCUUGAAGACAUCCAUCCUCGGUUGCUGCCUCCAUCUCGUAGCUGUGUGUUCCCCCAGCACGGAUAGCUCUGCUGCUGGGCAUGCCUGCAACCGCCUGAGUCAGAGCAUCUUGGCACCUGUUUUCAGCCUAAAUCCCAGUGGGAUCCAAAAAGUAGGCAGAGUGGCGUCUAAGUACCCGCAGGGUCUGAUUCAAUAGAUAAUGUCUUGGGCUGUGGGACAAAUUUGAAGGGAAGGUUCUUAUCAGCUCUGCACCACGUAUCUCUGUAUUUUACAGGUCUCAACUCUGGCCAGAUCCUCGUGGUUUUUGGAUGGAGUGACUUAAGUGACACAUUUUGAUCCUCAAGCCAUUAAACUGAAUUGCAUCAGCUGUGGCUCUGGCUUGGAGAAAUUAAAGAUGAGCACCUGUACCAGCUCAGCACCACCACGUUGAAUGCAGUCACAGAAGUUCAGCCACUGAAGAGUGAGCAAGACUAGAGCUUGGAUGAUGCUGCUGGAUUUCAUGUGUGUGCAUUAUGUGCCAGGAAAGACCAGGAGGUGGUGUUAGGGAAAACUGCUGGUUUAGGCAGUUCAGUGUUGAGAUUGGUUUCUUACUCUGAAAGCUGUCCCUCACAAAGUGCAGUGUGCAACAGUGGCAUAGGGUUUUGUUUUUUUUUGUACAAACUUAAAUAUACUCGUUAACUCCUCAAAAUAAUGUUAUCUCUUCCAGCGCAUUUCCCAUUGAAGUGAAUGGAAAUGUUCCCAUUGACUUUAAAGCACAAUUUCCUCUACCUACUCCUUCUUAAAAGACUUAAUCAAGCAUGUUUAGUGGAAACCUAUGAGAGUUGUCUAAUGACUGGCUCACUUUGCCCAGGGAAAAACGUAACUAUAAACUGAAACAUGAUGCUGAAAACUAAGUUUAGUAGAAAGUGUUUAGUCUAGUGCUGGAUGAAUGAUGGAAGCUUGUAUUUGUGAAUAAUUUAUUUGACAAUUGGUGAGGGAAAAAAAAUGACCGAAUAAGUUCUUUGCUCGUUUUUUCUUGCCUGUCUACCAAACUGGCUGCAUAAUGCGCAAACAAAUGGCUAAUAUUUAUUCAGGAGCAAAGAGGUCAGCUUUUGUCAAAAAUGUUUUUAGCAGUGGCUUGGACAAGCACCAGAUUAGCUUAAUUUUCUUGUGUCCUCUGCAUAGUAAACAAAGGAAGCUGUGCUAUUAGUUACUGAAUUCACUGUGAAUUUUGCAUCUCGCCAGUAAUGCUUACACUUUACAGCAAAUCCUCUGUUGCAAAGACUCUGCCAAUACUGGAGCUUGGCUUUUAUGCCUGCACAAAACCUCCUGAGACUUUAGAAGCCUCUAAAGUGAGUUUCUCUCUAUAGCCCGUACAGGAGGUGCUGCCCACCUUCAGCCCCUUCUGAAAGGGGCUUCUUCUGAGUCAGGUGCAGCGUUGCAGACAGCAGCUACAGAGCAGGAGAUGCACUGCUGAGGAGAAGGAGUACUUUGUGAUCGGGAGCUGCCAUCUUCACAUAGGCUGAUGUAAAUAGUUGCUGAUUGCCAGACAGAAGGUGCUUAUUAAUUAUUUUUCCUCUUAGUGACAGAGGAAAUACAGACAGACAUCGUAGUCUCUGAAGAUCUCUCUUUAUUAGCUUGACCUGACAGCACUACCGAGGUGUUUUGCUUGGGGACAAAAUCCACGUUUUGCCUUGCAAUUUAGUAAGCUUGUCUGCAUUGCCUCCCACGCUUCCUCCUACAACCUUUCCCUUCCCCUGUGACACACCCAGGUUUCUUUUUUUUGCUAGUCCUUCAUCCUCUGCUACCUUCCUGCCUUCUCCCAAGCUGCCCUAUGAGCUUAAAAGUGCUCUAAAGUGAACAUAUAUUUUAAUACUUUUUCUUUUGUCCUCCUCACCCCUUUUAAAAUACAGGAAAAUAUACUUUUUGCGCAAGAUACUGAAGGUACAAUCCCAAA